rnacentral:sRNA from 1 species
AAUAUUAGAUAAUGGAUUUUAAAACGAAACGGAAUAAACCAUUUUUAUAGAAGAGGACGACAAUUUACAGCAUAAUAAAUUUAUUCUUAUGUAAAAAUGGUUUAUAGUUUAUCCGAAACCGAUUUCUUUUACUUUUUUCCGAUUUGCACUACUACAAACUUUAAUGAUGAUAAACAAAAGCGUUUUAAUUCACAAACAGAUUUGUCCGUCUCAACCGUCGUAACUAUUCGAACCUUACAUAUAUAACUCAAACUGGAAAAUACACAUCAAUAUGUUGGGGAAACAAAGAAUUGUC